CUUCACCGAGCCGAGCAACAACGGCUCGUCCCGAUCCUGCCCGUACGUGGCCAGCAACGCCUGCGCCUC
rnacentral:antisense_RNA from 1 species